AGAGUUUGAUCAUGGCUCAGGAUAAACGCUGGCGGCGCACAUAAGACAUGCAAGUCGAACGGACUUAACCAUUAGUUUACUAUUGGAGCGGUUAGUGGCGGACUGGUGAGUAACACGUAAGCAACCUGCCUGUUAGAGGGGAACAACAGUUAGAAAUGACUGCUAAUACCGCAUAUGCCUUGAGUAUCGCAUGGUACAAGAGGGAAAGGAGCAAUCCGCUAACAGAUGGGCUUGCGUCUGAUUAGAUAGUUGGUGGGGUAACGGCCUACCAAGUCGACGAUCAGUAGCCGGACUGAGAGGUUGAACGGCCACAUUGGGACUGAGAUACGGCCCAGACUCCUACGGGAGGCAGCAGUCGGGAAUAUUGCGCAAUGGAGGAAACUCUGACGCAGUGACGCCGCGUGCAGGAAGAAGGUUUUCGGAUUGUAAACUGCUUUAGACAGGGAAGAACAAAUGACAGUACCCGUAGAAUAAGCUCCGCGG
rnacentral:rRNA from 1 species